GCCACCCCCGCCCUUCUUCUUUCCAUUCCCCAAUCCAGAUCUAGCAGCUCCAUUCUUCUUCGCCGAUGCCGCCGGCAGGGCCGGCUUCCCGGCCUGCUUCGACUUCUUCAGCUCCGCCGCCCGCGCCUCAGCCUCCCGCUGGAGCCGGCCAAACGUCUCAUCAAAACCCGGGUAGGCAGUCCGCUUCGGAUCGUAGAUCUCGGCGAACUCUCGGCGGACGUUGGAGAGGAGAUCGUCAAUGAAGGUGAGGUUGAGAAACCGCUGGUAGACGGCGACGAAGACGAGGCCUAGCUCGUUAUCGAAGGCCCACUUGAGCGUGUACAAGGCGCCGGGGGCAUCGUAGCUGAAGGCGGCGUCGGCGGAGCGCUCCUCGAGGAGGCAGGAGCGGAUCAGGGCGUCGAUCGGCGAGCCCUUGAGGGCGUUGCUGAUCUGGUUGCACCAGAGGAUCAGCCCGCCGCGGGUGAAGAUGAGGAGCUGCUCCA
rnacentral:misc_RNA from 1 species